GGAAGGUCCGGGCGUUAUCCGGAUUUACUGGGUGUAAAGGGAGCGUAGGCCGGAGAUUAAGCGUGUUGUGAAAUGUAGAUGCUCAACAUCUGCACUGCAGCGCGAACUGGUUUCCUUGAGUACGCACAAAGUGGGCGGAAUUCGUGGUGUAGCGGUGAAAUGCUUAGAUAUCACGAAGAACUCCGAUUGCGAAGGCAGCUCACUGGAGCGCAACUGACGCUGAAGCUCGAAAGUGCGGGUAUCGAACAGGAUUAGAUACCCUGGUAGUCCGCACGGUAAACGAUGGAUGCCCGCUGUUGGUCUGAAUAGGUCAGCGGCCAAGCGAAAGCAUUAAGCAUCCCACCUGGGGAGUACGCCGGCAACGGUGAAACUCAAAGGAAUUGACGG
rnacentral:rRNA from 1 species